UACGUAGGUGGCAAGCGUUGUCCGGAAUUAUUGGGCGUAAAGCGCGCGCAGGCGGCUCCUUAAGUCUGAUGUGAAAGCCCACGGCUCAACCGUGGAGGGUCAUUGGAAACUGGGGAGCUUGAGUGCAGAAGAGGAAAGUGGAAUUCCAAGUGUAGCGGUGAAAUGCGUAGAGAUUUGGAGGAACACCAGUGGCGAAGGCGACUUUCUGGUCUGUAACUGACACUGAGGCGCGAAGGCCAGGGGAGCAAACGGG
rnacentral:rRNA from 1 species